CAGUAGCCGCGGUAAUACGAAGGGUGCAAGCGUUACUCGGAAUUACUGGGCGUAAAGCGUGCGUAGGUGGUGGUUUAAGUCCGUUGUGAAAGCCCUGGGCUCAACCUGGGAAUUGCAGUGGAUACUGGAUCACUAGAGUGUGGUAGAGGAUAGUGGAAUUUCCGGUGUAGCAGUGAAAUGCGUAGAGAUCGGAAGGAACAUCUGUGGCGAAGGCGACUAUCUGGGCCAACACUGACACUGAGGCACGAAAGCGUGGGGAGCAAACAGGAUUAGAGACCCCCGUAGUCCCUGUCUCUUAUAC
rnacentral:rRNA from 1 species